UGCAGGCUCUCGGUUAAUGAGAAGGUCCUA
rnacentral:piRNA from 1 species